rnacentral:miRNA from 7 species
AGGUCAUCUAGUCCAACUUCCCUGCAAUGCACA